UAAAAUUAAGGGUUAAUCCUCUACUUGGUCCCUGUGGUUGUGUGGCCAUCUGAAAUUAGUCCCUCCCCGAAAAAUCUGAAAAUCUAAGUCCUCGCGUUUGAAAAAGUGUGUGUAGCAGGUCCUCGUCGGAGGGACUAAUUUCCACACACUUUCCAAACCCGAGAACUUAGAUUUUCAGAUUUUCCGGGGAGGGACUAAUUUCAGACGGCCACACAACCACAGGGACCAAGUAGAGGAUUAUCCCUAAAAUUAAGUA
rnacentral:pre_miRNA from 1 species